UUUUUGCUCGCCUUACCGAGUCCUGCGGCSCGAAAAACCACUGUUGUCAUCAACUACAAAAAC
rnacentral:tRNA from 1 species